UUGGAUGCUAUGAUUGUAAAAGUAAUUCCUCGUACUGAAUGCUCAUAAGGCAUGAUAGACUUACAUUACUACCCAUAGAAUAUGAGCAUC
rfam:Arabidopsis thaliana chromosome 3, complete sequence.